GCCCCACCGACCAGGCUCAGGUUCUGGUGGCCCCUGAGAGUGCUGUUCAGAGGAGCCAGUCUCCAGGGAAGAAGCAAAGGAUGACUGGCAAAGUCCAUAUUGAGGGACCACGGCCCGAGGACAGGAUCACCAGUGGCCCAACACGGUGGCCUAGGGCCAGGGCAUGUCACCCAGUGACCCAGACAGGGCCUCGAGGGAGCCAUCACAGCUUGUCCCAAGCCUUCUAGAUCUCAUGAUAUUUCUGCUUCUUGGAACCCGCGCUGGUGAGGAAACACGGCUGGUUAUGGCAGCCCUUCUCUCGAGUCCGUUGGGCAAUGGUCUCGGCUGGACGACGGCACAACCCCUGCCCAGAGAGCAGGGCACUGUCGGAGGCUCCCGCCUGCUCCAGAGAGGUGCUGUGACCUCCAAUGUCAGGUUCGGACCCGUCUGAAGUAGCCUCCCGGAGUGAUUUACAAUUUGCAAACACGUUUUAUUUGAUUCCUCAGUUGUGCUAGAGCAAUUACAGUGACUAAGCAUGACAAAUCACUCCCAUCACGGUGUCUACUCGCUGUUAGGAAAUGUGUUUGCUUCACUAUUGUGCCUGGUGUGGCAGCAUUUUAAAAAUAGACUCAUUCACUGUACUUGAAGGCAAUUUGUUCCAAAUUUUCCCACUAAUUUGAUUUUAAUCUGAUAUUUAAAAUUCGUGUGACCACAUUCCCACUGAUUUAUAGGGAAUAAGCCCUACCUGGCAGCAGUUUAAUUGGCCUUAACCCAGAAGUCCACAGGACAGAGGAUUUAUCCCAGAACAAUUUGAAACCACUGGUGUCGGUGAUGCUUAAAUGCAUGUCUCAUUCAGCACAUGGCAAGUGCCACUGUCUCGGAGCCACUAACAGUGUGGGCUGAGGGCUCUGCCACGCUCCUGCAGGACCCUGGCACGUAGUAGGUCAACAGUCCUCGCCGAGCAGAUGCGUGGAGCCCAGAUGUCCCGGCAUGAUGCAUGCCUGUUGGAGGCCCUGAGUUGCGUUCUGCGGGAAAGCCAUUUGUUCACGGGUGAUAAAUAGAAGUUUCCUCUUUCUCCCAUCCCGUGAUCAAGUUGGGUCCUGGGAGGAGGGCCCCGCAGCUCUGGCACCAAGUGCGUCCUGCCCUUGCCUGCUACUGACUGUCUGGCCCUCACCGCGCCUCCUGAUUUCUCGGAGCUUCCGUCUCCUUUUAGGCAAAAUGUAUGCAAAACUAGUACCCCGUCAGUCAUCAGUUGUUGUGAAAGGUAAACAGGCAAAGCUUGUGAGACACUUGUCUCAAGGUAAUGAGAUUACUGUGUGUUAGGGCAGGAGACAGGGUGGGUGAGGGAAGGCACACCUCAGUCCCUGAAAAGUCCCGCGGAAGGAGACACUCGUCGGAAUAAUAAGGACAAAACCCUUGCCCCAGAGUAACCAAGUUCCUGAAGUCACUUG
rnacentral:lncRNA from 1 species